GCUGGGUGUAGUGGCGCACGCCUGUAAUCUUAGCUACACAGGAGGCUGAGGCAGGAGAAUUGCUUGAACCCUGGUGGCGGAGGUUGCAGUGAGCCAAGAUUGGGUCACUGCAUUUCAGCCUGGGUGACAGAGCGAGACUCUGUCUCAA
ensembl:misc_RNA Metazoa_SRP Metazoan signal recognition particle RNA